UACGUAGGGCGCAAGCGUUGUCCGGAAUUAUUGGGCGUAAAGGGCGCGUAGGCGGCCACCGCAAGUCGACUGUGAAAUCUCCGGGCUUAACCCGGAAAGGUCAGCCGAUACUGCGGGGCUAGAGUGCAGAAGGGGCAACUGGAAUUCUCGGUGUAGCGGUGAAAUGCGUAGAUAUCGAGAGGAACACCUGCGGCGAAGGCGGGUUGCUGGGCUGACACUGACGCUGAGGCGCGAAAGCUAGGGGAGCGAACGGG
rnacentral:rRNA from 1 species